CGAGGUGAGAGCAGAAGGAGGGGCAGGAGGUGCUCCAGGCACUGGAGCAGAGAUUCCCCUGCAGCCGGUGGGAGACACCACAGUGGAGCAGGUAUUUCCCGGCACCUGUGGACGACCACGGUGGAGCAGACAUCCACAUUGCAGCCCAUGGAAGACCCUACACUGGGGCAGAUGUGAAAAAUCAGCGGGAAUCAAAGAUGGUUCCUCAGACAAGUCUGUGGCUCCUUAUUUGAGACGCAUCCAUUGUACUCUGUGAAGAUACCCAUGACAGCUUAUCCCAUGGAUAAGCCCUCAAAAACAAAAAAAA